AUUUAAGUUCCAGAACAGCCCACAGUUAUGACUGUUGUGCCAAUCGUAAUUAUUAAUAGCAUCCUCUUAGGGUCUCAAAGCUAUUUAGGUCGGACAAUAAAUUAUAUGGUCAUCCUAUCUCUAAGGAUCUGUGAUUUUCAAUGGCUCUGAGGUCCUAACCACGGGCAUUAGGACCUUGGAAAGGUUUUGUGAUGACAUCACCUCUAGAAAACUAAAAGCCACCUGCCUCCAGGGAACUGGAGACAGUGCAGGAAACAUCAGCACUUCAUUCAAACGCCCAGCUCCCAAGUGGUAAAUCACUCUUUCCACUGGGUCCCCCUAGCGCGCGGCGGAGAAACACUGGGAGAGUACGGCUGCGGUGGUGGAAAGAGCCAACAGUCCCACCCUCCUCCGCCCGCCACUCUCAGCAUGGCUGCCCCUGUGGAAGUGGGGGAGGGAGCGUCCCACCUCUCGCAGGCCCCAGAGGGGCGGGCCCCGGAAACCAAGAAGCUUCAGCCGACCAAUGGGGAGAGUAUACAUUCGAUAUCUGGGGCUUGGAUAGCAGCAACACAAAGGAUUCUUCCUACACCAUAAGAAAAGCUUUUCUAAUGUCGAGUAAUGGAGCAAGCUAUAGAAGGAGGGGGAAGAAGAUAGCCUCCCAGUGUCCAAGUAUUGCAGUGUCCCUGUGCUGGAGGAGCUUUGUGCAGCAGAUGCUGUGUCUGAGGAACGAUACCAUUUUUAAGCCAGC